rnacentral:rRNA from 1 species
CCUACGGGAGGCAGCAGUGGGGAAUAUUGGACAAUGGGCGCAAGCCUGAUCCAGCCAUACCGCGUGGGUGAAGAAGGCCUUCGGGUUGUAAAGCCCUUUUGUUGGGAAAGAAAUCCUAUCGGUUAAUAACCGGUGGGGAUGACGGUACCCAAAGAAUAAGCACCGGCUAACUUCGUGCCAGCAGCCGCGGUAAUACGAAGGGUGCAAGCGUUACUCGGAAUUACUGGGCGUAAAGCGUGCGUAGGUGGUGGUUUAAGUCUGCUGUGAAAGCCCUGGGCUCAACCUGGGAAUUGCAGUGGAUACUGGAUCACUAGAGUGUGGUAGAGGGAUGCGGAAUUUCUGGUGUAGCAGUGAAAUGCGUAGAGAUCAGAAGGAACAUCCGUGGCGAAGGCGGCAUCCUGGGCCAACACUGACACUGAGGCACGAAAGCGUGGGGAGCAAACAGGAUUAGAUACCCUGGUAGUCCACGCCCUAAACGAUGCGAACUGGAUGUUGGGUGCAACUUGGCACCCAGUAUCGAAGCUAACGCGUUAAGUUCGCCGCCUGGGGAGUACGGUCGCAAGACUGAAACUCAAAUGAAUUGACGG